CCUGAGGUGGGGUCCGGCCCGGACCUGCUCGGCGGGAAACGGGGCGGGCGCGGCCGACGCCUCCUCCCCUCCGCACCCUCCCCGCCGAUCCGCCCGGGGCCGCACUGACAGCAGAUGUGGCAUAUCAGAGUUUGGAAUCACCAUCGCCUGUGUAUCUGAGGGUGGCAGAAUGGCAUUUCAGUACCCAUCACCAUAUUAUCUAGGCGCCACCAUAAGAUUAAGAAGGUCUGCAGUGACAUUCUCAACAUGAUCUGUUCAAAGGUCGUUAGCAGAGCCUUUCAUACUGGAAAAGAUCGGAGGAGAGUACGGAAGUGAGCCACAGAAGGAGAGAAAAAGGCAAAGGAGGCGGCCCAGUCCUGCUUCUUCUGAAGUUGGUUGCUGUAGUGUCUCUGAUUGCCAUGAGCACACACUGAGGACAACCUUGGGAAUGUGCAUGGUGAAAGGUGUCACUGGCCAUCCUGUGUUCACUGAUGCAGCCUGUUGCUACUGUUUCAAGAAGUAGAUGGUAAGUGAAAACUUUGCCAAACUCUUUUUUUCACCACUGCAAUUAAGAAGCCUGGUUCCAUCCCGAGGAGGCCAAUGACAGUAUGUUGGCGUGUUGCUCAAACCAACCCCCGGAGGUUUUUUGUCCCCCUUUUGGUACAAAAACACUAGGGGAUUUACACUAGGGGAUAAAUAGGUGGUUCCAGAGCAAGAAGGAAAGAGCCAAAGUUGGAAGCUAACCACAAUAUGUGGGUGUAAACGAUUACCAAAGGCUUCCAGUAACUCUGCUAUCAUCAGAGACUGGCUUUAUGGGUAUGGCCUCAAGAAGUUUCCCUCCACUUAAUUAAAGAGGCAGAUAAGUAUCUAGGUGGAGUGUGCAGAUAGGUUCUGAAUGAGUUAUCCACUAAGGCUGGUUCGCUGCACCUAUUGUUAAAGCCAGAGUAUAAUAUCAGAUUAAUGCAUUAUAUUUGCCUAUUAUAGCACUAUGUCAUCAUUAUAUGACAUGUUAUAAUUAAAGCCCUGCAUUAGAAACAAAACUAUUUGGCUUGGGAUAAGUUGCCUUUACGACUUCUGUGGUUAUGAUUUCCUCCUUUUCUUAACCCCUUAAAACUGCAUAAUAUAGCUAUUUGUAACUGUAUAAAGAAAGUUUCUAGUUUCAGAUUCUAAUCUCAGGUAAUUCAAUGUAAGUAAAGUCAAAAUCUGGCACAUA